GACGAACCGUGCGAACGUUGUUCGGAUUCACUGGGCUUAAAGGGCGCGUAGGCGGACGGUCAAGUCGGGGGUGAAAUCUUUCAGCUUAACUGGAAAAGUGCCUCCGAUACUGAUCGUCUCGAGGGAGGUAGGGGCAUGUGGAACUUCCGGUGGAGCGGUGAAAUGCGUAGAUAUCGGAAGGAACGCCGGUGGCGAAAGCGGGUCUCUGGGCGAACAACUGACGCUGGAGGAGCGAAAGCGUGGGGAGCGAACAGG
rnacentral:rRNA from 1 species